GCUGGGCAUGAUAGCACAUGCCUGUAAUCCCAGUGAUUUGGGAGGCUGGGACAGGAGGAUUGCAGGCAUACGCAAUUUAGCAAGACCCUGUCUCAA
rnacentral:sRNA from 1 species